rnacentral:rRNA from 1 species
AACGAACGCUGGCGGCAUGCCUAACACAUGCAAGUCGAACGAGAUCUUCGGGUCUAGUGGCGCACGGGUGCGUAACGCGUGGGAAUCUGCCCUUUGGUUCGGAAUAACAGUUGGAAGCGACUGCUAAUACCGGAUGAUGACGAAAGUCCAAAGAUUUAUCGCCAGAGGAUGAGCCCGCGUAGGAUUAGCUAGUUGGUGUGGUAAAGGCGCACCAAGGCGACGAUCCUUAGCUGGUCUGGGAGGAUGAUCAGCCACACUGGGACUGAGGCACGGCCCAGACUCCUACGGGAGGCAGCAGUGGGGAAUAUUGGACAAUGGGCGAAAGCCUGAUCCAGCAAUGCCGCGUGAGUGAUGAAGGCCUUAGGGUUGUAAAGCUCUUUUACCCGGGAUGAUAAUGACAGUACCGGGAGAAUAAGCUCCGGCUAACUCCGUGCCAGCCGCCGCCGUAA